rnacentral:rRNA from 1 species
UACAGAGGAGCCAAGCGUUGUCCGGAUUGACUGGGCGUAAAGCGCACGCAGGCGGACGCGCGCGUGGGGUGUGAAAUCUGGCCGCUUAACGGCCAGGCGCCAUCCCAUACGGCGCGUCUGGAGCCUUGCAGAGGUCGGUGGAAUUGCCGGUGUAGUGGUGAAAUGCGUAGAGAUCGGCAGGAACACCGGUGGCGAAGGCGGCAUCCUGGGACCAACACUGACGCUGAGGAGCGAAAGCCAGGGGAGCAAACGGG